CUCUACCGAUUGAUGGCUCAGUGAGGCGUUUGGACUGGCUCGGGGAGGUUGGCAACGACCACCCCAAGCCGGAAAGUUCUCCAAACUCGGUCAUUUAGAGGAAGUAAAAGUCGUAACAAGGUCUCCGUAGGUGAACCUGCGGAGGGAUCAUUACACAAUAACAAGGCGGGUUGGACACCCCCCGCUGGGCACUGCUUCACGGCGUGCGCGGCGGGGCCGGCCCUGCUGAAUUAUUCACCCGUGUCUUUUGCGUACUUCUUGUUUCCUGGGUGGGCUCGCCCGCCCUCAGGACCAACCACAAACCUUUUGCAAUAGCAAUCAGCGUCAGUAACAACGUAAUUAAUUACAACUUUCAACAACGGAUCUCUUGGUUCUGGCAUCGAUGAAGAACGCAGCGAAAUGCGAUACGUAGUGUGAAUUGCAGAAUUCAGUGAAUCAUCGAAUCUUUGAACGCACAUUGCGCCCUUUGGUAUUCCAAAGGGCAUGCCUGUUCGAGCGUCAUUUGUACCCUCAAGCUUUGCUUGGUGUUGGGCGUCUUUUGUCUCCAGUUCGCUGGAGACUCGCCUUAAAGUCAUUGGCAGCCGGCCUACUGGUUUCGGAGCGCAGCACAAGUCGCGCUCUUCGCCAGCCAAGGUCAGCGUCCAGCAAGCCUUUUUUUCAACCUUUGACCUCGGAUCAGGUAGGGAUACCCGCUGAACUUAAGCAUAUCAAUAAGCGGAGGCACAAGAAACCAACCGGGAUUGCCCUAGUAACGGCGAGUGAAGCGGCAACAGCUCAAAUUUGAAAUCUGGCUCUUUUAGAGUCCGAGUUGUAAUUUGCAGAGGGCGCUUUGGCUUUGGCAGCGGUCCAAGUUCCUUGAAACAGGACGUCACAGAGGGUGAGAAAUCCCGUACGUGGUCGCUGGCUAU
rnacentral:rRNA from 1 species